rnacentral:rRNA from 1 species
GAUGAACGCUGGCGGCAGGCCUAAUACAUGCAAGUCGAGGGGUAGCGCAGCAAUGCGUGAGACCGGCGCACGGGUGCGUAACGCGUAUGGAAGGUGUCCGAACCACUGGGAUAGCCCCCGGAAACGGGGAUUAAUACCGGAUGGCCCGUAGUCGUGGCAUCACGAUUACGGUAAAGCUCAGGCGGGUUCGGGUCCCCAUGCGUACGAUUAGCUAGUUGGCGGGGUAACGGCCCACCAAGGCGACGAUCGUUAGGGGUCCUGAGAGGGAGAUCCCCCACACUGGUACUGAGACACGGGCCAGACUCCUACGGGAGGCAGCAGUAGGGAAUAUUGGGCAAUGGGCGCAAGCCUGACCCAGCCAUGCCGCGUGCAGGAAGAAGGCCCUCCGGGUUGUAAACUGCUUUUGGGAGGGGAC